GUUACGCUGGCGGCGUGCCUAACACAUGCAAGUCGAACGGUUCUAAGCGCGAGCUUAGGAUAGUGGCGAACGGGUGAGUAAAAGGUAGGAAUCUACCCCUUGGACGGAGAUAGCUACUGGAAACGGUAGGUAAACUUCGAUAAGCCCGAGAGGGGAAAGUGGUGAGACAGCCGAGGGAUGAGCCUACUCUCCAUCAGGUAGUUGGUGAGAUAAAAGCUUACCAAGCCGAUGACGGAUAACCGGUGUGAGAGCAUGAACGGUCACAAGGGCACUGAGAGACGGGCCCUACUCCUACGGGAGGCAGCAGUGGGGAAUCUUGGACAAUGGGCGAAAGCCUGAUCCAGCGACGCCGCGUGGAGGAAGAAGUCCUUCGGGAUGUAAACUUCUGAACUAGCCGAAUAAAAGGCUGUGGACACACAGGAGAAGAAAGUAGGCUAGGAAAAGUCCCGGCUAACUACGUG
rnacentral:rRNA from 1 species